GAUGAACGCUGGCGGCGUGCCUAAUACAUGCAAGUCGAGCGAACGGACGAGAAGCUUGCUUUUCUGAUGUUAGCGGCGGACGGGUGAGUAACACGUGGAUAACCUACCUAUAAGACUGGGAUAACUUCGGGAAACCGGAGCUAAUACCGGAUAAUAUUUUGAACCGCAUGGUUCAAAAGUGAAAGACGGUCUUGCUGUCACUUAUAGAUGGAUCCGCGCUGCAUUAGCUAGUUGGUAAGGUAACGGCUUACCAAGGCAACGAUGCAUAGCCGACCUGAGAGGGUGAUCAGCCACACUGGAACUGAGACACGGUCCAGACUCCUACGGGAGGCAGCAGUAGGGAAUCUUCCGCAAUGGGCGAAAGCCUGGCGGAGCAACGCCGCGUGAGUGAUGAAGGUCUUCGGAUCGUAAAACUCUGUUAUUAGGGAAGAACAUAUGUGUAAGUAACUGUGCACAUCUUGACGGUACCUAAUCAGAAAGCCACGGCUAACUACGUG
rnacentral:rRNA from 1 species